rnacentral:tRNA from 1 species
GAAGGUUUAGUUAAAUCAUAACACUAAUUUGUCAAGUUAUAAUUGCCUAAUAAAGGUGACCUUUA